UGCGGAGGGAUCAUUAAAGAGUUGCAAAACUCCCAAACCAUAUGUUUAUCUACCUGUUUCGUUGCUUCGGCAGGCGGCUCUUCGGGGCCUUCGCCCUCUGGGUGCCUGCCGGAGUAUCCAAAACUCUUGUUAAUUACUGUUCUGUCUGAGUAAACUUUUAAUAGUUAAAACUUUCAACAACGGAUCUCUUGGUUCUGGCAUCGAUGAAGAACGCAGCGAAAUGCGAUAAGUAAUGUGAAUUGCAGAAUUCAGUGAAUCAUCGAAUCUUUGAACGCACAUUGCGCCCAUUAGUAUUCUAGUGGGCAUGCCUGUUCGAGCGUCAUUUCAACCCUCAAGCACUGCUUGGUGUUGGGGCGUCUGCAGCUCCGGCUGCAGGCCCUGAAAAACAGUGGCGGGCUCGCUAUAACUCCGAGCGUAGUAAUCUCUCUCGCUUUGGAAGUGUGGCGGUUCCCGGCCGUUAAACCCCCCAAUUUCUGAAUGUUGACCUCGGAUCAGGUAGGAAUACCCGCUGAACUUAAGCAUAUCA
rnacentral:rRNA from 1 species